CUCCUUUAUGACACAGCAGAAACAACUCUUGUUUGAAGUCACAUCAGGUGAAUCUAAGAGUUUUUUGUUUGUGUCAGCCUCAGGGCUGGAUUGAACUAUGGAAGUAUCAACAGUGCACUCUCAAAGGCUCGAUCUGGAGAAGAAAGGCACUCUUUGAAGAUGGAAUUAUUGGGACUACAAAGUGAGGGUUUGAGAAGGCAAGCUGACGGAGCUAUUGUAUAUUGCAGGU
rnacentral:lncRNA from 1 species